CUCUAUUCCAGCAGCCGCGGUAAUACGGAGGGUGCGAGCCUCUUCAGGAAUCACUGGGCGUAAAGGGCGCGUAGGCGGCCCCUUAAGCGGGCGGUGAAAGCCCGGGGCUCAACCCCGGGUCGGCCGUGCGGACUGGGGGGCUGGAGCACGUCAGAGGCAGGCGGAAUUCCGGGUGUAGCGGUGGAAUGCGUAGAGAUCCGGAAGAACACCGGUGGCGAAGGCGGCCUGCUGGGACGUGGCUGACGCUGAGGCGCGACAGCGUGGGGAGCAAACAGGAUUAGAUACCCUGGUAGUCCACGCCGUAAACGAUGGGCACUAGGUGCUUGGUGUUAUUUAUCCCCCGGGUGCCGGCGCUAACGCAUUAAGUGCGCCGCCUGGAGAGUACGGCCGCAAGGCUGAGACUCAAAAGAAUUGACGGGGGCCCGCACAAGCGGUGGAUCAUGUGGUUUAA
rnacentral:sRNA from 1 species